UAAUGCAGUCGAGCGGACAGAUGGGAGCUUGCUCCCUGAUGUUAGCGGCGGACGGGUGAGUAACACGUGGGUAACCUGCCUGUAAGACUGGGAUAACUCCGGGAAACCGGGGCUAAUACCGGAUGGUUGUUUGAACCGCAUGGUUCAAACAUAAAAGGUGGCUUCGGCUACCACUUACAGAUGGACCCGCGGCGCAUUAGCUAGUUGGUGAGGUAACGGCUCACCAAGGCAACGAUGCGUAGCCGACCUGAGAGGGUGAUCGGCCACACUGGGACUGAGACACGGCCCAGACUCCUACGGGAGGCAGCAGUAGGGAAUCUUCCGCAAUGGACGAAAGUCUGACGGAGCAACGCCGCGUGAGUGAUGAAGGUUUUCGGAUCGUAAAGCUCUGUUGUUAGGGAAGAACAAGUACCGUUCGAAUAGGGCGGUACCUUGACGGUACCUAACCAGAAAGCCACGGCUAACUACGUGCCAGCAGCCGCGGUAAUACGUAGGUGGCAAGCGUUGUCCGGAAUUAUUGGGCGUAAAGGGCUCGCAGGCGGUUUCUUAAGUCUGAUGUGAAAGCCCCCGGCUCAACCGGG
rnacentral:rRNA from 1 species